GCUGGGAAUGUGAUGUGGAAACUUCUCUGGAUUGAAAUGGCAUAUAAUUAAUUCAAAGUGUGUUAGGUGGUGUAAAUUCAUUCUCUGAGCAUGUACUGAAGUUGGUAGGUUAUAUUUAAGUAGAGGGUACUGCUCAAGGAGGAAACCCCGAGUUAGUGUUGUAAAGAGCGCCUGCUGAGUUCAAGUACAGAUAGCCUCAAAGCAUUACGUCCUCUUCAUUCAUACCCAAAAAUUACUCAAGCAUGACUUGCAGUGAAAAAAAAUGUGCAAAAGACAUUAAUUUAUGACAAGUGUUCCCUGCCUGUUUCAUAACUGAUAGCCUGAUAACCUUCUUGUGCAGAGUCCCUCAACCUCAGAGACAGUCACAAGGAUGAAGAAAAUCAAGAGGGAACAGAGCUGUGAAGAGAACAGGCAGAUGUGCGGUGGUUAUUCAUACGCUGAGAACUGUGUGUGUCACAAGAACUCUGAUGCUUUUCUGAAAACAUAAUAUCGCAAUAAUUAGGAGAGUCACCCAAACCCUUCUCCAGGCUUUCCUACGUGAAUUACAGAGCUGCUCUCCAACUCCUAAAGUUGCUCUUUGUGUAGUAUGAAUGUUGUAUCAUUUAUACGUGCAUAAAUUUACGUAUGGAAGUUUAUCUAACCAAAAUGCAGUUCUAACUGGCUGACAAGGAAAUUACUCCCAAAAUACAUUUUUUUCACCGCAGUAAGUUCUGUGCGAAGCUGGCUGUUCAGUUGGAACUAACAGGCUUUUCCUUCUCUCCUGCUCGACGGACUGCUAGGUCUUGGAGCGAUUCCACCUGAUCAGAUGCUGAUAGGCAUAUUUUGUGAGGUGUUCUCCAGGGGCUGUUCAGCCCAUGCGAAGUGCUGGAUUUUCUACCAGUCCUUGAAGGUGUUCAGAUGCUCCUGCUGCUGUUCAGCCCCCUCUGGCUCUAGCUCUUUGAGCGCUGCCUGGGAGAAUCUUGACCUGGAUGGGAAAGGAGGAGCAUAGCAAGCUUAACAGGCAGUGUGGGACCUCCUUGCAGAAGUGAUCAGAUCGUGCUGGGAAUGAGAAGUGUUCAGAGUGGACAGAGACCUGUGCUCAGAAGCUGUGGAUGAAAGUUGGUCGUACUGAGAGAUAUGAGGAGCAGAACUCAGGAAGGAGUAUUUGGUUUCAAAAGACAAGCUCUUGGGACUGCUGGAUGAUGCACUCCAGAGACAGUGUGUGGCAUUGGUCAGCCACCUUUCAGCAUCCUUGAUACAGAUAAUUUCUGUUUUGUUUUGCUGUAGCCUUAACCCUGAUGGAACAGGAAAUGUCUGCAUAACAAAAGUUGUACGUGUUUCCAUAAGGGUCUUUACAUCUGUUUUCUUAAUGCUUAAAAUCCAAACAAAAAGAGUUGCUCUUAUAUUGCUGCUCUGGAUUGCCAGAACUACUUUUUGUUUUCACUUUCUGUUCUUGCUGUUUUUUACAGUGCAAAAGUAGCCCAAGGAAUCCAGAAGCUGAUGGACCUGCUGAGCAUGCAUUGUACAAGCAGCCUUGUAUGUUUCCACUGAGCUUUUGGGUGUCCAGAAAUUCUGGACAUAUGGCCAGAAAAGCUGUAGAUGAAGUGUAAGAGUGAUGGUUUGCUGCCAAGAGCAGUAGCAUUGGCAAGUAUGUUUGUGGCAUUCACGCGGUCAGAAAGUCAUACCAACUGUCUCCUCCCCAGACUCACAAAUUCCUCUUCUCAAAAGGGGUCAUGUUUUCUGUUUUCCAGGCCUCUAAACACAUAAAAGGCAUUUGCUUGUUUCCUUGCAUCACAUGAUUCUGCAAGUGGUGUUUUAUAUGUGUAUAUAUAUACAUGCAGUUUUUAACUCACUGUGCUUUCCUUUUACCCGUUGAUCUUUAUUCCUUCAGCAGAUCCCUUUUGGUUAUGUUGUAUGGUGUAUUUAUUAUUUUUUUUUUUUUGGUUUUGAAAGAGAAAUUAAUUAUUAUUUCAGUGGAUGACUUUUUUUUCAGAAUAAAAAGCAGAUUGUCAUGAAGGUAAUGAUGAGA
rnacentral:lncRNA from 1 species